UGUUUUUUUUUUUUUUUUUCCUUUUACAUGAAAAUUGAAAAGUGUUCAUGGCUUUAGCAACAGGCUUUUGGAGGGUUUUGUGUGAGGCUUUUCAUAUGAUAAUUGGUAGAUUCUAUGGCAACCAUUGAAAAAGAAGCCCUGAAAACAAAAGCUGCAGCAGAAGAGGAUCAGUACAUAUUCACUAUGUCUGCGGGAAUAACGGCAGAGACUCACUCUUCAGAAAGCUACUGCCUCCUGAGCUGCUAGACCAACAAGCUUUGGGCUCUCAUCUGAAAAAGAAGAUCAAGCAGAAGUUAAUGGCCCAUGUAGGCAUUUGUGGACCUCCUUGUCCAUAAAGACAUCGCAUCAGAGAUAGCAGUUCUAGGAACUUAUAUUCCAGGUUUGCUGUUUUGGCUAUAUCCCUGCAUGCUUAUGGGAAGUUAGGAUUGCAAGACUAAAAUAUCUAUCACUCUCAUUGAACCAAACCGUCAUCUUCUUAUUA
rnacentral:lncRNA from 1 species